GGGGGGUGGAGGUCAUAGGGGGUCUAGCAGACCAAGCAGAGAUCACCCCAUCCUGUGGGGGGGUGGAGGUCAGAGUGUGGUUUAGCUGAUGGAACUGGGAUCAUCCUAUCCUGUGGGAGGAUGGAGUUAACAGGGGGGUCUAGCUAAUGGAGGAGGGGUUAUCCCAACCUGUGGGGGGUGGAGGUCACAGGGAGAGGGGGUCUAGCUGACAGAGCAGGGGUCAUCCUUGCAUGGCUUCACAUCUCCUUGCAGCAGCACAAUCAUCACGGCCUUGGUCAGGUAACUGGAAGUCCCUCG